GGCUUGGUGGCGCAAUGGUAAUGCGCUCCAUGUACCUAUAUGCAAUGUUCAUAUAGUUCAACGGAAAGUCUGGAGUUCAAUUCUCUGUCAAGCCA